rnacentral:rRNA from 1 species
UACGGAGGGUGCAAGCGUUAUCCGGAUUCACUGGGUUUAAAGGGUGCGUAAGCGGAAUGAUAAGUCAGUGGUGAAAGCCCCGAGCUCAACUUGGGAAUUGCCAUUGAUACUGUUGUUCUUGAGUUCGGUUGAGGUAGGCGGAAUGUUGCAUGUAGCGGUGAAAUGCUUAGAUAUGCAACAGAACACCGAUUGCGAAGGCGGCUUACUGAGCCGACACUGACGCUGAGGCACGAAAGCGUGGGGAUCAAACAGG